rnacentral:rRNA from 1 species
UGGCUCAGGAUGAACGCUAGCGACAGGCUUAACACAUGCAAGUCGAGGGGCAGCAUGAGGUAGCAAUACCUUGAUGGCGACCGGCGCACGGGUGAGUAACGCGUAUGCAACCUGCCCGAUACCGGGGUAUAGCCCAUGGAAACGUGGAUUAACACCCCAUAGUACUUUUAUCCUGCAUGGGAUGUGAGUUAAAUGUUCAAGGUAUCGGAUGGGCAUGCGUCCUAUUAGUUAGUUGGCGGGGUAACAGCCCACCAAGACGAUGAUAGGUAGGGGUUCUGAGAGGAAGGUCCCCCACAUUGGAACUGAGACACGGUCCAAACUCCUACGGGAGGCAGCAGUGAGGAAUAUUGGUCAAUGGACGAGAGUCUGAACCAGCCAAGUAGCGUGAAGGAUGAAGGUCCUACGGAUUGUAAACUUCUUUUAUAAGGGAAGAAACCCUCCCACGUGUGGGAGCUUGUAUGUACCUUAUGAAUAAGCAUCGGCUAACUCCGUGCCAGCAGCCGCGGUAAUACGGAGGAUGCGAGCGUUAUCCGGAUUUAUUGGGUUUAAAGGGUGCGUAGGCGGUUUAUUAAGUUAGUGGUUAAAUAUUUGAGCUAAACUCAAUUGUGCCAUUAAUACUGGUAAACUGGAGUACAGACGAGGUAGGCGGAAUAAGUUAAGUAGCGGUGAAAUGCAUAGAUAUAACUUAGAACUCCGAUAGCGAAGGCAGCUUACCAGACUGUAACUGACGCUGAUGCACGAGAGCGUGGGUAGCGAACAGGAUUAGAUACCCUGGUAGUCCACGCCGUAAACGAUGCUCACUGGAUCUUGGCGAUACACCGUCAGGGUUCAAGCGAAAGUAUUAAGUGAGCCACCUGGGGAGUACGUCGGCAACGAUGAAACUCAAAGGAAUUGACGGGGGCCCGCACAAGCGGAGGAACAUGUG